rnacentral:pre_miRNA from 1 species
AAGCUGAAGAAAAUAGUUGUAAAACGACAAGGAUAGGGGUUUCUAUCGGCCUCCAGCAGUUACGAUAGUUGUAGGCCGGCGGAAACUACUUGCUCUUGUCGCUAAUAAU